GUCGUCAUUUACUCCCUACAUCUGAGCCGCUGAAGAUGCAGAGGAUUAACAUUACUUUCGCUUUGAAGUGAAUGUGUCUAUGUUCGCGCGAAUCAUUCGUGAUCCAGCCUCACCUACAGAAGAAGCAGACAGUGAAAAGUCCUCCUCAUUACCAUCAGGGGCUCAGAUUGUGUGUGUAGCAGAUGUCCAGUGUGUGGCUGCAGCAGUGUGUUGAUGUGAAUGCUGGGAAAGACAAACAUACUGUCUCCGCAUCCAGCAUGACAGGCCGAUCAAAUAUUCACUACUCAGACACAGGUGAAUUAUUUCAUAAACUAUGAGUCACCUGGGCUUUUAUCAGGGUCUAACAUGUUUCAGUCUCAAAAUUGCAUCUUCCUCCCCCGGGCUCGAGAAAAUAAAUGUUACGGUAAAUGGGAACAAGCGGCCAAUUAAAGCAGCAUGACGGAUGACCGUGGUGCUGAGACGACAGGCCGAGUUCCCUGACUACCUGCAGAGAGUUUAGAAAUAGAGCAUGUGUCACAGAGACUAUUGUUUCCUGAGCACGCUGGGCGGCUGCAUUGAUCCUACCAAAGUUUUACUUGUGAAAUAUUCCUCAUGACUCACUCUGUUUGUAGCCUUAAUGCAUCUCAA